UCGGAGGCGGCCGGGCGGCGCGGAGUCCUCCUGGAUCGUGGCAAUGGGCAGACACAGAGCAGAAAGUGGCGGACUUGGGCGGCCACAGAGCCUUUAUGACCGAAGAUGGAACUGAAAUGCCAUCCUGUUAUCAAGAAGGAGCAUAAGAACAGCUAGAGGAGAGAUGCAAGAUUGAAAUAUCAUGGAAUGGACUAUGGUUUAUCCUCUCUUCUGGUCGUAAAACACCAUCAGGUUGUAAUUGUUCAGAUCAGAAAUUCCCAAGCUUUUAAUAAAGCCUUCAGGGAGCCUCAUCCAGGGGCAACUGCCCUGUCAUUGGGAAUAAGUAGAGUGUGUGGGAAAUAUGUUGUCCUUGGUAAAACCUCCCCUUAGGAAAGAAGGCAAGAGAAUUGAGUAAGAGAAUGAUGGGCCAAAAGGAGAAAAUAGAGAAAGAGGCUGCAUGCUACAGAGAACAAGAGCAAAAUUCAAAAGCCUGGCACAGUUGGGCUUGAAACCAUCUGUGUAAAGGGGACUAAUAAUGCUGACCUCACUGCAUCACAAAUGACAGAGUUUAAAAUGAUGGUGUUUUUAAGGGACCUAGCACGUAUUAAGAAUUUAAUACACAUUGGUUUUCCUCCCUUCUCCUAGGGAUUAGGGAAAGCACAUCACUUUGCUUAAAUGCGUAUAAAAAGGCUUCAGACUGCUUCUUAACAAUGAGAAUCUUUGACAGUGAAUAUGCAAGCCAAAAAUAAAGAGUGGUUGAGAAACUUUGGCCAGUGGUAUCCCUAUCUCUGCUUACGAUCUGGCUCAUCAGGAGGGUUUUCCAACUUGGAAAACAGCAGAGGCUCCUGUUUGCAAUGCUCCGUCUCUGACAGGGGUGAGCCUGCCCCUUCCCUGACUCCAGCCCAUGCUGGGAACAAAAGGAUCUUGGGGAGAAAAGCCCUCCCUCUUGGUGCCCCCUUUGUCAUUAGCAGAAGGACCAAACCUUAGAAAGGAAGACUAGAGGUGGAGAGGGUGGGGGGAAUAGAAGGUUGUUACAGCUGAGUUUUCCUGUGUGCUAUGAAAUAUGCAAAAAAGAGAGAACCAGGGCCUGUAGAGUAACAAUUCAUAUAGACUCACAGAUUUCAGAAUCUAAGGUAAGAUCGUAAUGUGAUGUUGUGAUCAUUUUAUUGACAUUUUCUCAUCAAUAUCAAGCUGAUCCUAGGUACAACUCAUUGAGACAUUCAAUAUUCUUAGCACGCACUUUGUUUCUCCUUUAGAAGUAUAAGAAGCAUUUCAACUAUGUUUUCCAUGUAUAAUUGUUUCCCUUGGAUCCUGAUGCUUUAGUUCCUGUCCAUUGUUGUUUGUCAAAGAGCUUUCAUUAACUCACAAGGCUUCAGGGAGUUCUGCCUUAGAGUGGGUGUUGAAUCCCAACAUGUUCUCUGUGUCCUUCAGAGUUGGUGUUAGCCCGUGCCCCUCCUUGCCUGUCCUGCCCAUUUGUUCUGCUUUCCCUCUCAUGUUACUGAAGGCAAACAUCUCAAAUGAACCAUUUAACCCCCACCCCUACUUUCUUCCAGCUCUGUUGGAUCUCGAGGCUUUUAAAAAAUUUGACUCAUUCAAAUGGACUUAUUCAAACUGACAAAAUGCAGUUUUAUACAACUCUAGCCAUGAAAACACUAUAUAAACAGGCUUUAGGUCUUUAUCAUUCUGCAGAAUAAUAAAAAAGGAGAACCAAAGUGAUUCAAAUGGCUGUUUGUUUAUUGAGUGCACAGGGUGUUAGGGACCAGGCUUGGGAGACAGCCUUCUGUUUCCUCCCCACUUCAUUCCUCUGCUCUGAUACAUUAGCACUUGCCCUCUGGGCAAGCAGGCUGAUUAUUUCUGUUGGGAGACUGCCCACAUUUUAUUUUUUUAUAACAACUAAAUAUAUUUCCAUUUUAGCUUGGUUUUAACUUAGGGGCCACAUGGUGGGCCUGGGAGAGGAAUGGCUUUGCAUGUUGAGAGAGGGAAGGCCAAGGCCAAGAUCAGUGUGGAUAUCAGGUAGGUCUGCAAGGCUUUACUGGAUUAGACAGACACAUGCCAAUUACUUCCAAAAGCUUGUGUUGCCUCUACCACCCUCACCUUCUGAAACUUAGUGUCUUGUUUAUGGAAUACCAGGAAGUGGCUGCAUGCCAUGAAGUGGUUUUUUAUUCACAAAAGAGUUCAAGACACCAACAGUCACACUAAUUUUUCUUUUAUAAUUACUUUUAUUUUUCAGUAGGUUGAGAAAACACUUAACUAACUUUGUUUUUCUGAGAUGCCCAAACCCUACUUAGGAAGGACUACCUAUGGAAUGAAAAACUGUUCCACAAUCACCAACGGACUCCUUGACAAAAUAAAGUGUUAGUUUGGCCAAGCAGCAAAAGUAUAUCACUUUUUUGUUUUUGUUU
rnacentral:lncRNA from 10 species